rnacentral:lncRNA from 1 species
AAGGAGAGCAUGGGAUCCCUCUGUCCCCUUCAAGAACAAGGACCUCAAUUAUUUGAAAACCUCCCACUAAGCCUCAACUCAGUUUCUACCACCUUCCAAUAGUGCCAAACUGGGGAAUGAGCCACACACCUCUAGAGCACACUUAGAUAAACCAUAUCUGCUUCCAAAAUAUUAUUUCUUUAUUAUAAAUUGAAAAAAAAAUUUAUCUCACCUCUCUCAUCACAGCUGUUCUUCUUAUGGUACAAACUGCAAAACACUCUGUAAUAACUCCCCAGAAGAGGUCUCACUGGUGGCACAAGCCCAGAUGCCUCCUGCGAGGAUGGUGAGAAAUAGUUCUCAGCCCUAGACUCAGCCAUUCCAGAAGCACACAAAAGAAGGCGGGGAUGAUUCGGAGGACUGACAUAGGAGGUAAUGCAGCUCAGUUGCUGCUUUGUAAGGAGGAGUUCGCUAUUAUGUUAGCAGGAACUGAGUACUCACACCACAGGAUUCCUCUAACCACUCUACUGCUGCUCUUCACAGUGGACCUUCGGGUUGCUGGGUCAGGACUGCUUGACUUUGGCAAAGAUCCUCUUAGAAUCAACUACAGCUAUAGAACCAUGCCAAACAUCCCCACUCCUCCUCAUUCCAAGUGCAUACUUCCUGCUGCCAGUAAAACUACAUGGAUGGUGAAAGAAUGAGCCGAGAUCCAUAGAAGCAACAUACAUGCCAGGCAGGUGAGAAUUUAUUGGAGUGUAAUGUGGAAAUUUCACU